AGGUACAGAGGAUGGUAACCACACAGCCAGUGACCUCGAUGACAGGGUCAGGUUCCACCAGCAUCUAGAGUUGACCAGGGUGGAUUGCUUGGCUAAGCCUCUGUUUGCUGAUAAUGGAACUGUUGGCUCUUGGUGUCCUCGAGUCUGGGACAGGCUCGUCUGCUGGGACUCGGCUGCUCCUAACACGACGGUGUUCCUCCCGUGUCCGAAGUAUGUCAAGGAGUUCAACCACAAGGCCUCGGCGUGGAGACGGUGUGGACAAGAUGGUACUUGGGAGUCUCAGCCUAUGCCAGAAUCAGCCUCCAACGAGACUGAAAGAUAUAGUUCACAUAGGGUGGACGAACUACAGCGCUUGCUUGAACUCCAAAGACUUCA